UACGGAGGAUGCGAGCGUUAUCCGGAUUUAUCGGGUUUAGAGGGUGCGUAGGCGGACUGUCAAGUCAGCGGUAAAAUUGAGAGGCUCAACCUCUUCCCGCCGUUGAAACUGGUGGUCUUGAGUGGAUGAGAAGUACGCGGAAUGCGUGGUGUAGCGGUGAAAUGCAUAGAUAUCACGCAGAACUCCGAUUGCGAAGGCAGCGUACCGGCAUCCAACUGACGCUGAGGCACGAAAGCGUGGGGAUCAAACAGG
rnacentral:rRNA from 1 species